rnacentral:rRNA from 1 species
GUCUACGGCCAUGCCACCCUGAACAUGUCCAAUCUCUUCUGAUCUCAGAAGCUAAGCAGGGUUGGGCCUGGUUAGUACUUGGAUGGGAGAUCAGCUGGGAAUACUGGGUGCUGUAGGUG